UACGUAGGGUGCAAGCGUUGUCCGGAAUUAUUGGGCGUAAAGAGCUCGUAGGCGGUCUGUCGCGUCUGCUGUGAAAACUCAGGGCUUAACCCUGAGCUUGCAGUGGGUACGGGCAGACUAGAGUCCGGUAGGGGAGCGUGGAAUUCCUGGUGUAGCGGUGAAAUGCGCAGAUAUCAGGAGGAACACCAGCGGCGAAGGCGGCGCUCUGGGCCGGUACUGACGCUGAGGAGCGAAAGCGUGGGUAGCAAACAGG
rnacentral:rRNA from 1 species